rnacentral:snRNA from 1 species
AUCGCUUCUUGGCCUUUUGGCUAAGAUCAAGUGUAGGGAACACUUCUAGGAUUAAUUCUUUGAAAAAUUUUCCUUAACUGCAUAUAGAAACAAUAUUCAAUCUUUUGUAAGUUUUGCAACCUGUAGGAUUAAAAAGAAAAGAAA